UGGACUCCAAAAGUAGAGGCAAACCCUUUGAACACAACCAUCCGGGUUUAGCCAGCGUUAGCCCGAUAAAACUUCAGCAGGUUUAAUUAGGAGUCACUAACAACAAACUCCGAAGGUCGUCGUUAUGUUUUUGGCAGCGCUCUCCAUCGACAAGGGCAUGCGAAUAUCCAUUAUCAGUUGUCUCUUCAACUAUUACACCCAGCGCAGUAACCAUAACAACAAGAGUGCAACAUGUCCGCAGUUUGAUGAUCAACAGUGCAAUAUUUCAAACUGUUAUUGCGAUGAAGAUUUUAAUAAAAGGCUACCAAAAUUGAUUCCCUGGACUGGUCAACUAUGCAAGAAAGUAAUUUCUGAAGGCGUGAUGUGUGGGUGGGAGAGGUUAGUUCAAAUCUUAUAAAAAUACUCUAUUGCUACAUUAAUUUUUAUUUGUCAGUUGGUCGCUUAUGAUAAUGCAUGUGUGAGUCAGUGUGGGCUUAUUUCAAACUAAAAGAUAGCGCGCAACCCGUAUAUAUGAUUUCAGAUCAGUGAUCUUAUGUCUUUUGCGUUCGUGUCCUUCGUUGUAUUAAAAGGGAUUGGGGACGAAUGGUAGCUUGCACUGAAACUAUCUUUUGCUAUUGAUUUUAAUGCUCAAUUUGUACUACACUUACCGGUAUUCC